rnacentral:rRNA from 1 species
GUACACUCCUGCGGGAGGCAGCAGUGAGGAAUAUUGGACAAUGGGUGGAAGCCUGAUCCAGCCAUCCCGCGUGCAGGAAGACGGCCCUAUGGGUUGUAAACUGCUUUUAUCUGGGGAUAAACCUACUUACGUGUAAGUAGCUGAAGGUACCAGAAGAAUAAGCACCGGCUAACUCCGUGCCAGCAGCCGCGGUAAUACGGAGGGUGCAAGCGUUAUCCGGAUUUAUUGGGUUUAAAGGGUCCGUAGGCGGACUGAUAAGUCAGUGGUGAAAUCCGACAGCUUAACUGUCGAACUGCCAUUGAUACUGUUAGUCUUGAGUAAGGUUGAAGUGGCUGGAAUAAGUAGUGUAGCGGUGAAAUGCAUAGAUAUUACUUAGAACACCAAUUGCGAAGGCAGGUCACUAAGUCUUAACUGACGCUGAUGGACGAAAGCGUGGGGAGCGAACAGGAUUAGAAACCCCGGUAGUCCCAUGAU